GAACUACUCCCUCCGUUCAGAAUUCCUCAUUCAAGAAAUGAAUGUAUCUUAUGUAUUUUAGUUAUAGAUACAUUCAUUUUUAUCCAUUUUUAUGACAAGUAAUUCCGGAUGGAGGGAGUAGUCA
rnacentral:pre_miRNA from 1 species